UAUGGAACGUGUUUUCGUCUGCAAGGAAGAUACGAUGUGGGCUCGGAUGCUGUCUGGCGGCCGCGGGUUCGGAUUCGGUUUCCGAGACCCGAGGGAAGUGUCUACAGAGUCAAAUCUACAUCUGUCCCAGCAGAAUGCCUCCGCACCUGCACCGAUGCCCUCACUUGACUGGCUGCUACAGAUGAGGAUUUUAAUUAAAAGCAUGAGAGUAGGGGUUUAUUGAUAGCCCCGCCUCAGAACCAUUAUCUCGAGAACGAAUCUAUUUGAAUGAACAACCCAUUCCAUUCAUAGUCCCGAUUCUCAGCAUCCGGGAAUACUGAACACAUCGUACCUAUCAAGCACUCGCCAGCACCGCUCCCUCUUCGACGUCUAGCCACGUGUUACAGAGCAAAGUCCAUGGGGGAGAGACCGAGGGAAAUUCAUGGAGUCUGUGAUUGUUGGUGACGUAGCAGAGCUGACGGACAACCAGGGCACGCUCACUCUCUUCACCAAUGACAAGGGAGGAAUGAAUGAUGAUCUCAUCGUCACCAAGACAGACCAAGGCUACCUCUACGUGGUGUCCAACGCUGGCUGUGCAGACAAGGACUCCGCCAACAUGAAGGUCCCUCCAUGGCCCAGGUGCUCCAGUCGGGUCUGACAGAUGACCUCAGCAAGCUGACCUUCAUGACCAGCACCUUGGCCACAGUGUUUGGGAUCCAGGGCUGCAGGCUGACCUGCUGUGGUUCCCCCGGAGAGUAUUGAGUGGAGGUGUCUCUUUCACUCGUUUCUGGUACUUCA